AAAAAACGUUUCAUUAAAUGUUAAAAAAAAAAUCAUUAAAAAAUCAUUAAAAAUAUUUAAAAAUUUUAAAAUACAUUUUCUCUUUCACAAAAUGCAAUUUAUUGUGGGCUUUGUGAAUGGACCUUAAUUUUAACAUGAUUGUAUUAUAUUGUAAACAGCAUGAUAUCUACUCAUUUUCAUAUCGAACUACAUUGAUUUUUAUUUAUGAGCAAAUUUAAGGUGACUUUAAUGACUUUGUUAAAACUCACAGUUGCAUUGCUUAGCAUGUAAGAAUCUGUGCACACCACAGUCUCUGUAGGGAGGCAAAGGCGAUGCAAAGUGUUAUCCCUCAACAGUAUGGCUAAUGGAAACAGAGUAGAAAUGCAACAUAAUGAAAGCUGGGGUCAAACGAGGGGAACGAUUCCUCAGGGGUGGAAUCAAAACAAGGAGCCGAUGAAACGGAGACUCAGAUUUCACUGCUGCACAAUUCGAUUGUGUGAUACCACUCAGUGCUACUAUAAUAUUCAUAAUUACGGUAACACGUUGAGAAGGGAGUACAUUUUCUUCAUAUGAUAUAAUGUGAUCAAUGCUUGUUACAAACAAAGAAGAUUCUGAAAUUACAGUGCACUGAGAUCAUGAAUUAUAUGGAAAGCAUGGAUCUAAAUAUUCAUCCUCUGCUCAAAUAUUAGCUGAUAAUCAAUGUGGAGUUUGAUACAUGCAUGUCUUGAAAAAAAUUGCUGCUAAAAAUGAUGCGGAUUAAUAACUUAAUGGACAUCUGCUUUAUAGUUUAAUAUUUAUGGUUCAUAAUUUUAAUCAUGUUUUAAGCUCCCUAUUAAUGGUCUACAAAAGUGUGAAUAAUUGAGUUUCUAACAAACUAAUUUCCAUAGCAACAUACCCUCUCAAAAUGAAAUCAAUCCCAGGUCAGGCUUUAGCUUCAUUCUCUCCCUCCAUUCCCCAAGGAGCAGACUCCAAAAACUGAAAUCACUCCAGGGAGACAGGGAAUAAAUGGUUAUGAUCCAGUUUUAUGGAAAGCAAACCAAAGAAACUCACAAUCAAAAUCAGAGCCAGUAGAACAAAGAGCAAGACUACAAUAAUAAAUAUUUGCCGAAACCUAAUCAGAGUGCAGCAGAAAAGCAAACCUUGUCUAAAUCAUUUUCCAGGUCAGGUACGCUACUCGAGGGCAGUGAAUGCUCAAUGCCGGGCUUUUUUUUUUGCCGUAACUAAACAAAUCUGGAGGAUUUUGCAUCGCUAAACAGAACCAAACUUGCAGCAUCCACAUAAUGCAGGGAAAAAGAACCCAAAAUGUAUGGAAAAUAUGCAAAAGCCAGAGUUGAUUUAAGGCCAACACUUAGGGAAGUGGAGCAUGUAGAUUCCUGGUGUUUCCAACAUUCUACCCCUGCUGUGUUACAUGGCCGCAACCCCUUUUGUGCAGGGUUAACCCGUUAAAUCCCACCAAAGUGGCUAUUCAGUGGAGUGCCAUCCACCCCAGGGGUUAUUGUGACUGGCCUUUGUUAAGAACAAUAGACGUAAAGAGGAUAAGACACCAGUAGCACUUCCUAACUUCCCCCAAAGUCUUCUCACUUUCCGCACACUGGUAGGGCAAGUGCCUGGAUCGAUUGAUCCCCCCCUUUUCCUGUUUAACAUUAGGGAACUCGUUUGUUUGAUCCCAAGUGCACUGAAAUGACAUUAAAUGGCCUGACAUUUUUGACACACAAAUGGAAAUAGUGUCUAUUAAAUGUGUCUUUUCUAUGACUGGAGCUUAUGUUUUAGUCAAUUGGUUUAUUACAUUAUUAAACGCUGCCUGUCUAGAUGGAACUGUUUAAUAAACUACACUUGCUCAAAAAUAGAAUCACUGCCAGAGCCACAAAUGAAAGGAAACCAUCAAUGCAACCUCCUAACCAAACCCAAAUUAAAGAGUCAAACUGCAUCCUAUACAGAUGAAGUUGCAGCAUCAUAUUUUUCCCUUCAUCAUUCUAAAACAAAAUAUAAUAAAACGCAUAUUUUAAUAACUAAUUUAAAUCCGCAUGGAAUUAUAAAUGCACUUUCAUUACAUUUUAUUCUCUAUUAUAACUAUGUCUAUCAUGAAAUCACAGAUUUUCAAAUAAGUUCAAUGCUUGGGAUUGAAAUACAAUUUUAUCCUUCCCUUUAAUCAUGGGUCACUGGUUAGAAAAUAUAUUCUCGCUCUUGCCUCCCUCUAAGCAGGUGAACUGAGCUCAAGACUUUCCCACGAUCCCUCAGUAAAUCUCUCUUUGCUCUGCCCCUUUCCUCUGUCCAAGCCAUCUGUCUAUUUUUUAGAAUUCGUCUGGUGGAGCAAGUGUCUGCUGCUGGGACAAGUCCAGCAUGCCAAAACGGAUUUCACCACAGCAUUUAGCCAGAAAUACAAAUAUUUCAAUUAAAAAAUUAAGAUGCAUCAACUGUAUUACUAAAAACAUUGGAAUAUGUAAUGAUUUCUCUUUCUUUCUGUCUGUGCGUCUCCCUCAUUUGAAAGAAACCCGUGGUGUUCUGACAGUCCAAGAAAGUGAAUUUUACAGAGCCCAGGCACGUAUCAUUAGAGCGUUAAAAGAAGCGCGGCUGGUGCCGUGGGUCUCCUCCUGUGCUGCCUUCCCUCUAAACGUGUGACUCUGGCUGGCUGAGAGCAUGAGAACGGAGCCUUUUGAAUAGCAGGAUCCUCAUACUUGGCUAGUAACCAUGGAAGCAGAUGCCUACUCUCUUUGCCCUCCUUACCUCCUUGCUCCCUCAUUGAAAAGAGGGCACGCCUCGCUUUCUUCUUCCUGACCGAACUUGCCUGGCCCUCAGAGGAAGCGAUUGAGCAGGUCACUGGUCUAGACUUGUUUGCAUGGUCCACGGAACAGCCUUGAGGUAACCCUUGCUCCCCGUGCGUCGCACCACCGUACACUGCAGGGGGGGACAUCGGAGAUGUGAAUUUGAAAAGGAGCUCCGUCCGAUUUUGCCUUUGUGCCUUUUUUUCCCUCAUCGAUCGGCUGAAUAUCGAACCCUCAGUCUGUGCAUGUGUGAAACGGAUAGCUUAGUAAGCAUUUUUUCUAAUCAAGCUUGCGUUGUGGGCCAACUCUCUCGUUUUUCUCUCUCGUACUUAGCCGCCUCGAACCCUCCCUCUCUCUCUGUCCCUCUUUCUCCAUUUUUCUCUCUCUCUCUCUUUUCCUCUCUUGCUCUUUCUGCUUUUUCUUCCUGUUCUACGCUCCUCUAAGCAUUGUUUUGAUUAUCUGGGACAUUUGGAUAAGCAUGUUGUGAUACUUCUAAUCAGUGUCAGUUUUUUUAAUCUGUUAUUGAGUGAUUUCAGCUUUGUGUUACCCGUGGAUUUUGCAUGUACAACUGUUUGCUUUUUCAAUUUCAACUGGGAUGACCACUAACCACAGAGGGACUUUUUAGACUAUUUAAACAAAAACACUGGCAAAUCCACUGCUUUUGUUUCCAUUCCAUCUUAAAAGAUGUAUGGAUGACAGUUUCUCCUUUUAAAAAACAUAACAAUUUUCAUGUGAAAAACUGAUGUCUCAUGAGACCAACAACAAAAAAGUGGAGAGAGUUUGAGCAGAGGACGACUGACCCGAAGGCACGGUGACUUGGAGAAAAGGCUGGUAUCACACUGGGAGAAAAAAAAAGCGAAAGGGAGAGAGAUGGGGUUCAUUCUGUCUUUUCUCCCGCUCUCUCUCUCUCCCUUUCUCCUGCUGCCUUUGUGUGCCGUGCAGGAAUGUGCUUGCUUUUCAUUUCUUUCUUUGUGUCUGCCCCUCAGGCCCUAGCAGGCAGUGUCUUAUGCCACAGCGGGGUCAUGGCAAACACAGAGACACAUUCAUGGCCGCAUCAAGUUUAUGUGAGAAUCUGGUCUUUCCUUGCCCCUCAUUUCCAUAUGAAUUGUUAAUAAAAUAGCAGUCAUGUGAAGGGGAGAUCACUCCAGCAGGGGAAGUCAAGCAAAGCAACCUUGGUUUUAAAACGGCCUCAUCCCUUCUGUUCCUUCGAUGCAGAAACGCUCCGGUUAAAGCUAUCACGAGCAUAUGUCAUCAUUAUUGUCCAUGUUUACUUUAGCACAACCACAUGUGAAAUGCUCCUUCACAAAACAACAGCGGAAACUCUGUAUUUGGAUUAAUGGCUCAAUGAAAAUAACAUGUCUAAAUAAUCAAUUUUGAGAAAUAACCAUAUAAAAUUCCAUGUUUUGUUGGGUGUAACAAUUACAGCGAUAUCCUACUGGAGUUUCUCACAUAUGCAUUAAAGGCAAGACUCUUCGUUUUAAAAUUUUAGCCAGCAAUAAAACAAAAUGGAGCUUGGGAAAAACAGAUCCCCAUUUUUAGUUUGCUGUUCUCAAGCCAAUCACAGUUUGGGCCUUCUGGACAGGGAGCAGGAUACAUCUUGAAGGGCUGGCCAGUUGAUUGACUUUUCUUUGGGUUCAACACACGUGUCCUGUGACCCCGCCACACUUUCCCAUGCCCUCCGAUGCCCCAUCUAUUCUAACAGACAUCCCAAAUUCCCCCCAUCCUCCACAGACAGAUCAGCUUCAGCCAUCACUUGACAGCAGCCAUGUGUACGACUUCCCUCUGUGAUGUCAUAGAGGUUUGCUGUCCAAUAAUUAGAGGGCGAGGAAGGGUCAGGAUAGAAAGAAGGGUGGUGAUUGGACAAGAUAAAGGAGCUCACCAAAUCAACCUGCUCCGACUGCUUUUUAUUCCGCACACGUGACGUUUCAUUAAAUGUGCAGUAAAGAGAAGUAACUGAAAUAAUAUCAUCGAGCAAAACAUUUACACAUGAAUGUUAACCUGGAGGGGGAAAAGUAUUGUUCAUAUACGAUAAAAUCUGUUUUCCAUUAUACUAAGGUUAUAUACUGAAGUUAUUUAUUUAAUAAAACAAAUUUUGUUGUUGAUCUUUUUUUUUUUCUUUUUUUUUUACAUUAUAAUAACAAUACAACUAAUUAUCAGUAUUUUACAAUAGUUAUUUAAAAUAUAUUUUCUUAUUAAUAUUACUCAGAAUCAUAAAUGAUUAUACAUAAUAUAUUUCAUAUAAAUUAAUAUCAUUAAAAGUAAUUAUAUGUAAAAUGACAAAAUUCUUUAUAUUUCUCUUUUAGUCAGAGAUUACAUCAGACCCUGGACCACAAAACCAGUCAUAAGGGUCAAUUUUUUUAAAUUUAGAUUUAUACAUCUGAAUAAAUAAGCUUUCCAUUGAUGUAUGGUUUGUUAGGAUAGGACAAUAUUUGGCUAAGAUACACUAUUUGAAAAUUUGAAAUCUGAGAGUGCAAAAAAAUCUAAAUAUUGAGAAAGUCGCCUUUAAAGUUAUCCAAAUGAAGUCCUUAGCAAUGCAUAUCCACUCACAAAAAUACAUUUUUGAUAUAUUUACGGUAGGAAAUUUACAAAAUAUCUUUGGCAUAAAAGAAAAAUAGAUAAUUUUGACUAAUAUUGUCCUAUCCUAACAAACCAUAUAUAAAUGGAAAGCUUAUUCAUUCAGCUUUCAGAUGAUUUAUAAAUCUCAAUUUCAAAAAAUUGACCCUUAUGACUGGUUUUGUUGUCCAGGAUCACAAAUGUUGCCAACACAACUGAUGUUUAUAACUUAAUCUAGAUGUCACACACACACACACACACACACACACAUACAUAUAUAUAUAUAUAAUACUUGGGUUAUAAUUAUUGUACAUUUUACAAGAAACUAUUUCAGUCUUUAUUAAAAAUUGUAUGUAUGUUUAAUUUGCCUUUUCUUUGUAAUUAAUUGUGAAAAUUGUUAAUCACACUAUUUUUCCAGCGUAUUCAUAUGUUAAGUUGAAUACUGAAUAUACAUAGAUAAAAAACUACAACAUUCUUUGACACGUCUUGAUUAAAUCCUAUAAAUCUCCAUUUCACAGGAUGUCAAAUCUCAUAAUCUCCAUCUUAAUAACUUGUGUUAUCAUCUCUAACAUGUAUCUGAAUGGCUCUUCUUCUGCUCAAUCCUGUUUUGUGGUUCUGUACAUCUGCUAUUCUUACAGCACUCUGCUCGUGAUUAAGUCGUCUCUUUGUGGACAUGGAUGUCCUCACUCUUCAGUGUUUUUGGACUUGCGGACAGAUCUUGCUGUGAAUCGACGGUAUGUCUGCCAGCUUGACACACACAGAAGGAGAGCAUGACAUCAGGGCUUUGUCAUUUAGAAGAUCUAUUCAAGGAUUACAGUGGAGAAUGAGCCCCUGCCUGGAGGAGACUUAUUUCACUGAAACCCUAGCUGUUUUCACUACAAUUUUUUUUUCUCCAAGUACUUCUGGAAGUACGUAGCUUGGGAGAGUACUAUAGUUGGCAUUACGUAUUUAAAUCUGAGACUUUUAACCCUUAGGCGCCACUUCGGAACACAAAAGAGGAUGUGUGCCCGCAUUAAUAAUAUCACAUGAGCCUCCCACCCAAAUAUUAUAAAAAUGACAAACAAUGAUACAAUAAACUGUUUGUAGGAAUAGCUAAGAUUAAUUAAAAAAAUUCAAGUCUUAA